rnacentral:misc_RNA from 1 species
UAACCAACUCCUGAAUUCACAAAUAUUAAACAAAAUGCUCCAAAUCCACAUAUAAACUGUUGAUUGCUCAUCUAAACAAACAUUGAUGCCAAGGGAAAAGGAAGUUUGCCUUGUCUAGGAUUUACUCCAUUCCUAAAGGAAACCAUCGCAUCAAUAACUAAAGUCGAGGAAAUGCAAAUUUAAGAAUUCUUUUGAUUUAAUUCUUACUUGAAAAAUAUUAACAUAACCUAGUAUUUUCAACCACAGACUAAAGCCUGGUGUAACUAUGAGCACGAUUGUCAAGACUU